rnacentral:rRNA from 1 species
UGACGGUACUUGACUAAGAAGCCCCGGCUAACUACGUGCCAGCAGCCGCGGUAAUACGUAGGGGGCAAGCGUUAUCCGGAUUUACUGGGUGUAAAGGGAGCGUAGACGGUAAGGCAAGUCUGAAGUGAAAUGCAGGGGCUCAACCCCGGAACUGCUUUUGGAACUGUCGAGCUAGAUUGCAGGAGAGGUAAGUGGAAUUCCUAGUGUAGCGGUGAAAUGCGUAGAUAUUAGGAGGAACACCAGUGGCGAAGGCGGCUUACUGGACUGUAAAUGACGCUGAGGCUCGAAAGCGUGGGGAGCAAACAGGAUUAGAUACCCUG